AUUGUCCAUAAUGGCUUUAUCAGAUCUUUUUACAACUACUCUUAGCAAACAUCUGUAAGCCUUUUGCUGUCAAAAAUAUUCUCAUAUAUAUGAUAUUAAUGUAACCAUGGCAUGAAAACAAGGAUGGCAAAGGAUUUUUUGCAGAAGAAGUCACAGAAAAGGUAAAUAUUUUCUCGUUUGUGCCCACAAACGAAAUUCGUGCUAUAGUCAUGGCUAACAAUCGUUUGUCGACGGCUUUGUAAAAUAGUGGACGAUUGGACGAUAAAAGCGAUCGAAAAUUGCUAGAAACUACUGGUGAAAUGUAGUUCUUUCCCUGUACUCUCACCUCCUGUUCGUGUUAAUCUUAGUAUGAUCGAUAUUUUAUCGGUAAACCGCAUGUUAUAGAAAUCUUUGACCCCAAAGCGUACGUGUCUCGGUGUCUGCUAUUGCAGUUAAUAAAAUCCAAAAGAAAAACGUUUUAAUGCAUUUUAUCCUACACUAAGGAGCUUAUCGAUUGGUCACUAACUGUCAUUGAAAAUUAAAACUUCAAUCACUAGGUCCUCUGUCGUUUAAUUUUGAAAUGAAGCUGAGAAAACCUUUCGAUUAUAAUAUUUAACAAAAUAUCCUUGACCGAAGCCGUUACUGUUUAGCAAUUAACGAAAAUUUAUAGAAAUUUUAAUACGUAAUAUAUCUACCCCAAAUCAAUAAAUGUUUACAAAUGCAUUAACAACGGCUAAAUUAGAAUUUUGUUCGUCAUUUGUCUCAGCUACUUAUUAAAUGUUGACAAUUAAUUUGAAAUGAAAUAUUGUUUACAGUAUUCAUUGGUCAAGCUGGACAAUACUUGUAAGAUAAAUAAACCACAAUCAGAGAUCAUGUGGUUACAUGGUGAACAUCAUAUGUACCCGACUGCAUUUUACACAUGAUAUUUUGACCAUGGAAAAGUAUGAGAACUUGGGUUUAGUUGGAGAAGGAUCUUAUGGCAUGGUGAUGAAGUGUCGCCACAAGUCCAAUCAAAUUGUUGCAAUUAAGAAGUUUUUAGAGUCUGAAGAUGAUAAAAUGGUUAAGAAAAUUGCAAUGAGAGAAGUGCGCAUGUUGAAG